ensembl:lncRNA
ACCUCAUAGCUGGUUAUGGCCAUGUCAGGGUUUUCGGUCUGUCUCCACAGCCACCUCUGCGCUGCACCUUUUAUCCAGCAGAGGGCGUCUAAUCACAACGCAGAGCCAUCUCCAUCAUCACGUCCCUCCGGCAGUCGGAAACCUCCGGAUGUCAACACAGCCGGACCUGGCAUUCACCCUGGGAGCCCCGUCUCCUGUCAAUCAUUUCUGCUGUCUCAUGAUUCUCUCUCUCUAUCUCUCUAUCUAUCUAUGUACCUUCAUUCUUUCUCUCUCCUAUCUAUCCAUCUUUCUAUCUCUCUAUCUUCUUUACUGGAUAAGAAGAUGUGAAGGUGGAGCUAGUUUUCUGAUGGAGCAGAGUGUGUCUGUUGAUAUUGUCAUGUGUGUGUCACUCAAGUCCAAAUACCAUAUCUGUGUGUAUUUGAGCGCAAAUAGAGUUCCAUCGUAAAACACUGCAUCAUCUUUUUCAUCUAUUUAUAUGAAUUAUUUCUGUAAGAUAUUUCUGUAAGGUAUUACUGUAACGGAAAUAGUUGUAAAACCAACACAAUUAUAUUUCCCUGACACCUAGGCUGCCCGCAUGGUUGGCCACACAAAUACAUCUUUAUAAAAUAAUAUGAUAUUGUUAAUAUGUGUGAUUAAUAUAAUACACAUUCACCUAUACACACAACAUGCAAUUGCAUGUAUUCAAUGACGACAGAAACGGUCAUACAUGCUUCUAAUGUCUGUCAUAGGGACAGCGACGUUAUUUCCUGCAUUAGCUCCAAAAGAUUCAGACGCGACUGUAGCGGAGCAUGUGAUGUAACCACGUAUGGAUCUGCCGCUUAGCAAUUUGACGUUGAAUGUUCGACUGAGGCAAAGCCGAAGUAUCCAUCCUCCCAUUCGUGGAUUCCUUUCGCUCUUUUAAUGUCUCUCUCUCUCUCUCUAUCCCCCCUCUCUUUCUCUCAACCAUACGACUUACGUGAGCGACUCCAAUGUCCUGUUCCGGUUGCUAGGGAAGAGCGCCGGUCCUAGGCAACGUUUUACGCCGAGCUCAAACCGAGACGGGUUGGGAAACAGGACCAGCUUUCGCGAGCUGAGCGCUGUCAUUACGAGAGGCGACGGAAAAUACUUUUCCUCAACUACUAGGAGUUUGUAGAUAUUCAUCGACCUCUGUACAAAUUUGCUAAAGGAAGUUUGCAGAAACGAAACGGAAUGUUUAACAGCCGUACCGGAGCUUUAACAGAUUGGUGUCAUCAGCGUGUCUGUGUCGAGUGGACUUCCAUGGGCUGGUUCACUUUGCCGGCGGCCAGGUCACUGGUGUAACUGCGUUCUGCCAUCCCGGCUCGGCGGUGGCACCAGCGGGCUCGGGGGAGUCUGCUUCUCGGUCCUGGUCGACCCAUCCGGUUGACUGCGGUUCGAGGAAUAACCUGAGGCACGGAUGUUCUGAGUCUGCGGAACUUGUGGACUAUCUAGUUGAUCCGGAACUGUCUUUGCAUGGACUAGGCGAAGCUCUGAUAAAAAAGUUUGAGAAAAUUGUAAAGGUCAGCGUUGUGUGUGUACAUAAAGCUCGGCGGUCUAGCUGCAGAUUCAGUAUGCGUAAUCCUCAGUUUAAUAGCUGCGUAUCUUAUAGUCAUAUGUUAUUCUGCAUUAGAGACAAGUAUUUUGGUUUGCUCUUUCUGGCAUUAUAAUUCUGUGUAAAAUAAUUGUGUGUCAAAAUUAUUAUUUAUUAUUUUGACCAUUAUUAUUAUCAUACUUACUGUCACUACUAUUAUUAUUACUAUUACUACUAUUAUUAUUACUAUUAUUAUUCUUAUUUUCUCCAACACUGUUAGUUUUGCCUUUAUAGUAUUGCUGGCAGAAGAGUAGUAUACGUGUGUAAACGAGUGUGUGUGUGUGUGUGUGUGUGUGUGUGUGUGUCAGGAAGGAUCAUCAUGGCUGUUGUGAGAGGGUGUGUGAGGGUUUGCUGACAGUGAGGCUGUGUGUGUGGGGCUGUGUGUGUGUGGGAGUGUGUGUGUGUGUGUGUGUGUGUGUGGGAGUUGGAUCCAAAGCUCCGCAGACAGGGGCCAUUGCCACCAUGCAUGUCCCCUCAGGCAAGCUCUCCCAUGGGCAUCCUCUCCUGACCAAUGAGACCCCUGCUUCAGCACGGCCUCAAAGAGCACAGCGUCCUCCAGCCCUGUCCUGAGACUAACUUUGUCUCAGACACACACAUACACACACACAGACAGACACACACACACACACACACACACACACACACACACUCAUGUGAACACACACUGACACAGAGAUAAUAUAUACACACUUGCACGCAAACACGUACAGGCAGGCACACACACACACAUUCCCACACAAAAACCAAAACAGAAAUAAACAAACAAACACUGGACA